AGGGUGGGGCUGAAGCUGUGGCGCUCAUAGACAGACAGUGACUCGGGACUUGCAUUCAUUCAGUGGAGAGCAAACUCAAUACAACUGACACAAAUGUUUAGGAACAGAGCUCCUGUCCAUACUAUGAGGAAUGAAGUGCUAAAUUAUCAGCAGGUUCUUUAACUGAUGGAUUUUAGCUUCACCCAAGGGCUGGUGCCUCU